rnacentral:rRNA from 2 species
AGACCCGAAACCCGGUGAUCUAGCCAUGGGCAGGUUGAAGGUUGGGUAACACUAACUGGAGGACCGAACCGACUAAUGUUGAAAAAUUAGCGGAUGACCUGUGGCUGGGGGUGAAAGGCCAAUCAAACCGGGAGAUAGCUGGUUCUCCCCGAAAGCUAUUUAGGUAGCGCCUCGUGAAUUCAUCUCCGGGGGUAGAGCACUGUUUCGGCUAGGGGGCCAUCCCGGCUUACCAACCCGAUGCAAACUGCGAAUACCGGAGAAUGUUAUCACGGGAGACACACGGCGGGUGCUAACGUCCGUCGUGAAGAGGGAAACAACCCAGACCGCCAGCUAAGGUCCCAAAGUCAUGGUUAAGUGGGAAACGAUGUGGGAAGGCCCAGACAGCCAGGAUGUUGGCUUAGAAGCAGCCAUCAUUUAAAGAAAGCGUAAUAGCUCACUGGUCGAGUCGGCCUGCGCGGAAGAUGUAACGGGGCUAAACCAUGCACCGAAGCUGCGGCAGCGAACGUAUCACCCAAGACAACUUUACGGAGUUG